GCAACACAUAUGAUAAGAGAGAAAUAUUUCAGAGGGUUAUCUUCAACAGAAUGGAUGAUUCAAUGGAAAAUCAAGUGAAGCAUUGCUGAUAGAUGAUGUGAGUAACAACUGAAGAGUGAAAAGCAUGAAAGGGCAAAUCAUGUUAGGAAAAGCAAUGUGGCAGCCAAAGCAAAUCUACAUUCUAUUUCAACUGAAUGGAAGUGAAUAUAAUAUGGAAUGGUGACCAAAGACCAGAGGAAGGCUAUACAGUACAUAGUGCCAUAGACAUGCAACAUGAAGACAACUGAUGGAAAAAAACUACCAUCAGGCCUUCAAUUACCUUUGGGCUUGUCUUGCACAAGAAGAUGGUUGGAGCUCAACCACCACUGAACAUGAGUCACCCCCUCUUGGGAAAGUUCACAACUGAAAUGUGCAUUCUCACCGACAGUAACAGCAACAUUCUGUAUGCCCCGAGUGAUAAGCACACGUUCUGGACAUGGAUGGAA